rnacentral:rRNA from 1 species
GACGAACGCUGGCGGCGUGCCUAAUACAUGCAAGUCGAACGCAGUGGGGACGGGUGAGUAACACGUGGCUAACCUCCCAUCAGAGGGGAUAACACUUGGCAACAGGUGCUAAACCGCUACUGAUUGAUGGACUCGCGGUGCAUUAGCGAGUUGGUGAGGUAACGGCUUACAAAGGCCACGAUGCAUAGCUGAGCUGAGAGGGUGAACGGCCACACUGGGACUGAGACACGGCCCAGACUCCUACGUGAGGCAGCAGUAGGGAAUCUUCGGCAAUGGACGAAAGUCUGACCGAGCAACGCCGCGGGAGUGAAGAAGGUUUUCGGAUCGUAAAACUCUGUUGUUAGAGAAGCGGUAUCUAACCAGAAAGCCACGGCUAACUACGUGCCAGCAGCCGCGGUAAUUC